rnacentral:misc_RNA from 1 species
UUAAAUUCCAUGUCUAAUAAUCUUUCCUCUCAAGCUUGAAACUCUACCAUAUUUUAGCGCUGAAUCAAUUUUAUAUCUAACUCUAAUCUGGCACGCGAUAAUAUUAAUGCAUUAGAAUUACGUUAACUUUUCUGACACAGAAUAUUAUAUCUACUCGACGUACACUCUCAAACCAAAGAGCAGCUAUAUUCUUGGCGAUAGGAAUGAGCGUGUAUACAAAUGAAGCUAAUAAAAAUGGAGCUUAUAAAUACAGAUGGUCUUACAUAUUCGGAUGGUGUUCAUUUUCAAUUUCUAUCGUGUCUGCAUAUAUUUGUUUUGCAAUUGAGCCAAAAAAUGAUGACCCGAUUAAGCCAAAAAAUGAUGUCCGAAUUGAACUCAGUAAUUUGGAUUUUCGCUAUGAUUACAGGCCCUAAUCUAGUCUUAAUUUAUAAUAAAUUUUGAGAAUUUUAAAUAAUUUUUUGCUCUAUUUUUAAAGCGUUAUCAACGUUAGCACACUUAAUAGCGUUUUAAUAGCGUUAUUUGUAACAUUAUUUUUUUAUUAACGUUAUUUAUAAUAAAUAAUACUUAUGACAAAUGUAAUACUAAAUACAAAAAAUUA